GCCAGCUUCGACGGUCACAGCGAAAAAAAGGGAGGUGGCGAGUCUUCAUUGCUUCGGUUUUUGUUUGUUUUCAGAUUGUUUCACGGAUCGGUGAUUCUCAACUGGAUGCAAACGAACAUGAGGAGCUUCUCCGAGUUCGUGUACCAGUCGAUGGUAUUUCGUCAGACAAACUGAGGAGAGAAACAGAUGUGAGCAAUGGUGAGGAGAAACUGCACUGCAAAACAUUGACCUGACAGCCUGACGGAAUGUUCCGGAUGGAGGUGCUCUAUGGCGUGUUAAGAUCCACGCCGAUAACGGUGACCACUCCAGCCAUCCAUGAAAAUUCAUGCAUUAUGGUAGCCCGGGGAGCCCGGAUCUGCAUUCACACUGAGAACGGCACCUCCGAAUGUGAAGGCUGUCGUUCAUACAUUUGGAUCACACGUCUGGGCCCAAACUGGGGACAGCUUCCCGGGCCCCUCCAUGAGUCAUCUCAGUAGCAGAUGUCCAUAUGCAAGGGAGAAUCACAAUUUCAAGCCUACAUGUUACAAAUUUUAUGCAAUUUGAUAUUUACUGAAGCUGUUUGAUUAAAAUACCUUGGUCAAAGGGACAAAAAAAACAAGGUGUUCCAUCCAGGAUC